rnacentral:rRNA from 1 species
AGUAACGGCGAGUGAAGCGGCAACAGCUCAAAUUUGAAAUCUGGCCCUCUCAGGGUCCGAGUUGUAAUUUGGAGAGGAUGCUUCGGGUGUGGCCCCGGUCUAAGUUCCUUGGAACAGGACGUCACAGAGGGUGAGAAUCCCGUACGUGCCCGGUGGCCGCCCCCGUGUGAAGCUCCUUCGAAGAGUCGAGUUGUUUGGGA